rnacentral:rRNA from 1 species
CCUACGGGAGGCAGCAGUGGGGAAUAUUGCACAAUGGGGGAAACCCUGAUGCAGCGACGCCGCGUGAGUGAAGAAGGAUUUCUGUGUGUAAAGCUCUAUCAGCAGGAAAGAAAAUGACGGUACCUGAAUAAGAAGCCCCGGCUAACUACGUGCCAGCAGCCGCGGUAAUACGUAGGGGGCAAGCGUUAUCCGGAUUUACUGGGUGUAAAGGGAGCGUAGACGGCAGCACAAGUCUGGAGUGAAAUGCCGGGGCUUAACCCGGGAACUGCUUUGGAAACUGGGGAGCUAGAGUGCAGGAGAGGUAAGUGGAAUGCCUGGUGUAGCGGUGAAAUGCGUAGAGAUCAGGAGGAACACCAGUGGCGAAGGCGGCUUACUGGACUGUAACUGACGUUGAGGCUCGAAAGCGUGGGGAGCAAACAGGAUUAGAUACCCCAGUAGUC